CGAUUUUAUCCACAGAGUUUACCUUUGUCUAUGGAUUAUUGAAUUUUAUCUGUCUUUGAUGGUUGUUUAUUUAUAAAAAUUAACAUUUCGUCGUAGUUUGUAUUGAAAAAUUUCAAUACCUAACUUGUUAUACUUCUAUAAUUGGAUUUUAAAUAAAAUUAUGGGUAUGGAAUGCAGAUAACAAAUGAAUAGGCAGUGUAUAUAUUUUUGGAAUGAGAUAUCUGGUGGUGACUUUGGACAAUAUCAUUAGUAAGACUUUGGGGACAGAUAAUUUUUUCGUGUAAUUAUAUAAAGCGUUGUGCAUGUUCAGUUUAUUCAGAAGAGCGAUGGACAUUCAAGCUAGGGAUAUGAAGAAAAAGGCCAAGCUUUUAAAAAAGCUGACCAUGUUUACAAUAUAUGAAGUGGACUGGUUUCAUUACUUCUAAAUAAAUGAGACAGACUUCAGUGAAUUUUCCACCUUAUUAUAUCGAAAUUAUGUAAUGGAUGAAGCAGAAGAAAUUUACUCAUUCAAGGGUAUCGACUGGGACAUCAGUGUCCCAGAAGUAUUUUAUAAAUGUCCUGUUCGGCAAUAAAUAUACCCAGCAUGGAAUCAAUUGGGAAUAUAAAGCCAGAUCAGUUUAUUCAAGGUACUAUAUCUAUAUUUGUGUCAGCUAAUAGUUUAUUAUCAUACGAAAGUUUCAGAGAAAAAAAUAUCAUAUUCAGGAAAAGGACUUGAAGUUUGUCAGUUGGACCUGAGGCUUGUUGCUUUUCUGAAUGGUGUUAUUUUCAAGAAUGGGGAGUCAGUGAAAUUAUUGGAAGUCAAAUGUCUAUUCAUUGGCCAAAUUAUUUCUGCUGAAAAUACUGAGCACCAUUGCCAAUAUUUGAGAAGAGGAAAAGCCGGCUAAUUUGAAAGAAUGAAUAAACAUUAUGCUAGAGUCUGAUUAAGUAUGACAAUUAUUAAUUUGAAAAAUUGGGACUCUAUAGUGUUCUCAUCUGGUGAUAAGACGUUCAAAACUGUUAGUGAGCCAUUUGAUGAAGAAUUCACAAUAGCUAAUUCUUAAAACUUGAAAUGAUUUAUUUUAAAAAUAUGCUUUACACAUUGUGUAGCAUGAAAGUUUUGUUAGAGUUCACCCUGUGUAACUCUUUUUUAAACAUGCCUACAACAAAUCAAAUCGAUUAGUCCAUCUAGCGGCAGCUAGAUGAACUAGAUUAUAGAGGACAAUUGGUCCAUCUAGCGGUGAAUAGACGAACUAGCGUAUGAAGGACGAUGAGUCCUUCUAGCGGCCUAUAGACAAACUCCUAUAGAGGACAAUUAGUCCAUCUGGUGGUCAAGGGAGGUAAAGGAACGGUUGACGGCCGUUACGUGUUUUUCCAGACUGUAGUCGAUGACUGAAAGUGGUGGAUGUAACUCACGUGUUUUUCGAAAAAUCUCGUUAAAAAGAAAGUAUAGUUAAUGGUGUUGAAUACGAGAUAUCUAAGUUGGUAGCAGAGCGAAUAACUCUUAAUUUUUGACAACAGUAUUUUUGUCGAUAUCAUUGUGAAAUAAUUGAAAUAAAUCCCAUAUAACAAAAUGGACAACAACCAAGAAUAUGACGUUCCCAUCAAUACAGAAGCUCAAAUUGAAGACCUUGAUUGGAUGAUUACAUCUCCACACCAAGAAGAGGCAGUGAAUAAAACAGAUUUUGCUACGUUAAUAAAACAGCAAGUAAAUGAAACUCUUGCCAAUGGAGGGUUAGACUUUAACUGGGACUUCGUUCAUUGAAUCUACUAGAUUUCCUAACUGAAGAAUAUGGAAGUUUGUCUCACAAUAUGCCUUUUGGUAAUAGAGUUCUUCAUGAUGCUCAAGCAAUGCAAUAUUUAAUAUCAACACUAUCUAAGGGGAUUGCAAAAAGUUUGUUGAAAAGUAAAAUCUGCUAAUAGUAAAUAUAAGCAGAUCCUAGAAAUGUUUUCUGGUCAAAAACUUCAAGAAUUUAUUGUUAUCGAAGAAAACUAUAAUAAGUUGCAUUUUCGUGAUUAUGACUGUCCUAUAAAAUUCGUGACAGAAUUUCAAAACAGUAUCGAAGAAUACAGAAAACUGGGAACAGUAUUUGAAGAUCUAUUGAUUGCUAGGUUCUUGGUAAAAUUAAAAUUGAGAAUUGAUAUGAAUCUGGAAAACUAUAUCCUAUUUUUUAUAAUAUGAUGAGAAGCUUGCCAGAACACCUGAGAAACUUCAAUACUCGCAUCCGAAAAAGGAAAAAAUGAGAAUGAAGAAAGUUAAACAUGGAAGAGAAGUAAACACACAACCCCAAUGAAGGAAAUGGAGCAUAAUGAAAAUCAGAACCAAAAAAGAAAUAUUGAUUUCAAGAAAAGAAUAAGCAUGACUGAUUUAUACUCCAAAUAAGAAAUAGAAAAAUGGAUACCUAUAGAACUGGAAAAAAAACCAAGGUGAGAAGUGUGGUACCUACUUACACACUCAAAAUGUAUGUCCCUAUCCAGGGAAACUCUGCUAUAGGCUAUAGGUUUGGACACAAAAAAAAAAAAUGUAAAGAAAGUGAGUAUGAGUAGGAUUUAUAAUGUAUGAUAGUGUAGUGACUCGAACAGAAAGAAUCGGAGGGGGAAUUGUGGCAUAAAAGGUGUGCUCACAUUUCCUCUACGUACUUGAAUAAAUUACGGAAUGUGUCAACAGGUAUGACGGAAUUUAUUUACAAAAAAAAAAAAAAAAGCAAUGGAAAAAUCCUCCACAUGCUCUCUAUCGAAAUUAACUAGGAAAACGAUAAACAAAGCCAGAAAUGGGUCAAAUAGAUCAUGUGAAAUAAUUCACACAGAUUUAAUUGGUCUAAUCACACCAGCCACAUUUGUUAACAAGAAUAAAUAUAUUCUAACCUUUCUUGAUAAUUAUACUUGCUUUUUGCAAACUUUUGUAUUAAAAUCCAAAAUACAAGUACCUGAGUGUUUAGAGCAAAGUUAAAGAACUUUAAAAUCAAUGUUUUCUGAGAAAUAUUCAUUUAAACUUAUAAGAUGUCACAAUGGAAUAGAAUUCACAGGCAAUGUGACUACAUUAAUACUUGAUAAGUACAGUAUUGAAUUACAAACAGCUGAACCAUAUACUCAGAACAUAAUGGUACAAUUGAAAGAUUGAAUCGCACUUUAGAAGAACGCAUUCGAGCUUUACUUGUAAGUUCAGGAUUUUCACUAUCUUUUUGGGGCCUAGCUACUCAAUGCGCAACUUAUUUGUACAACAAAACCCCUUUUAACAAGAGCAAUUUACUUACUUCAUUAAAGCACUGUUUAUGUUGAUGUAUUUCAUUGCCCAAAAUUACCCUUAUAUAAUAAUAAUCUUUAUUCUCUGACCUCAAAUCAGUAAUGUUGACAUAACUAUUUUAGAUAUUAUUGGAUGCAAUAUGAAACUGUUUUUUAUUAGGGCUCAAACUUAUGAGUAAGUAGGUGAGUUUAUUGAUAAAUAGGAAUAAUAACUGUAACACGUUUGAGACAUCCACUGAAUAGGCUUCACAACCCGCCAAACGAGCUGCUGUAUCAGAAAACCGAGAUUCAACCAAUUAAGGAUCGAAUAAUACAUCUUAACCAAAGAUUCUCCAAAAGACUGUCUGAAACUGAAGAAAUAAACAACUUAUUUCUAAGUGAACAAACACACCACAGUACAAGAACAUUUCCAACAUCAACCAUUAUCGAAAGCUUAAGAUGCCUCAACAUAUGAAGUCCUACUACCUAUUCUUACCUAUUUUACUUUUACAAUAAUGUUAUUCAUAGAACUCAUAGUAUUUAUGUAUAUAUAUUUUCUAUUUUCUUUUAAUUGUACAUGGCUGAAGUGUAAAAAGAAGAACAAUUCUACCGUGUAAUGUCAUAUUUCUAUGAUCAUAUUUUUAACCUUUUUUGUGAGCUCGAUGUAGAGCAUUAUUAUUAAAAGCAGACCUCUUGGUGUAAGUACAUAUAUUGUUAUUCAUUAUCAGUUAUACUUGUGUUCAAUAUUAGUUUCAUUGAUUAUAUUACAUAGUUAAAACAG